GGGGGUGUAGCUCAGUCCGGCAGAGCGCUUCCGUCGCAUGGAAGAGGCCACGGGUUCGAAUCCCGUCACCUCCA
rnacentral:tRNA from 1 species